UCUUUUUGUUUUUAAAGACCUUCUUAUGAAGGUAUGCUUAAAGAGGGGCUUGCGCCACAUUAGUUAGUUGGUAGGGUAAAAGCCUACCAAGACGAUGAUGUGUAGCUGGACUGAGAGGUUGAACAGCCACAUUGGGACUGAGACACGGCCCAAACUCCUACGGGAGGCAGCAGUAGGGAAUUUUCGGCAAUGGAGGAAACUCUGACCGAGCAACGCCGCGUGAACGAUGAAGUAUUUCGGUAUGUAAAGUUCUUUUAUUGAAGAAGAAAAAGUAGUGGAAAAACUAUAUUGACGUUAUUCAAUGAAUAAGCCCCGGCUAACUAUGUGCCAGCAGCCGCGGUAAGACAUAGGGGGCGAGCGUUAUCCGGAAUUAUUGGGCGUAAAGGGUGCGUAGGCUGUUAGAUAAGUCUAUAAUUUAAUUUCAGUGCUUAACGCUGUCUUGUUAUAGAAACUGUCUUGACUAGAGUGAGAUAGAGGCAAGCGGAAUUCCAUGUGUAGCGGUAAAAUGUGUAAAUAUAUGGAGGAACACCAGAAGCGUAGGCGGCUUGCUGGGUCUUUACUGACGCUGAGGCACGAAAGCGUGGGUAGCAAACAGGAUUAGAUACCCUGGUAGUCCACGCCGUAAACGAUGAGUACUAAGUGUCGGGGUAAAACUCGGUACUGAAGUUAACACAUUAAGUACUCCGCCUGAGUAGUACGUACGCAAGUAUGAAACUUAAAGGAAUUGACGGGACUCCGCACAAGCGGUGGAUCAUGUUGUUUAAUUCGAAGAUACACGAAAAAUCUUACCAGGUCUUGACAUACUCUGCAAAGCUAUAGAAAUAUAGUGGAGGUUAUCAGGGAUACAGGUGGUGCAUGGUUGUCGUCAGUUCGUGUCGUGAGAUGUUAGGUUAAGUCCUAAAACGAGCGCAACCCUUGUCGUUAAUUGCCAGCACGUAAUGGUGGGGUCUUUAGCGAGACUGCCAAUUAAACAUUGGGGGACGGUGAGGAUUACGUCAAAUCAUCAUGCCCCUUAUGAUCUGGGCUACAAAUGUGAUACAAUGGCUGUGACAAAGAGUAGCUGAAACGCGAGUUUUUAGUCAGUCUCAAAAGAGCAGUCUCAGUUCGGAUUAAAGUCUGUAACUCGACUUCAUGAAAUGGAAUCGCUAGUAAUCGCGAAUCAGCAUGUCGCGGU
rnacentral:rRNA from 1 species